rnacentral:rRNA from 1 species
GACGAACUGUCCAAACGUUGUUCGGAAUCACUGGGCUUAAAGGGCGCGUAGGCGGUCGGAUAAGUCGGGGGUGAAAUCCUGCAGCUCAACUGUAGAAGUGCCUUCGAUACUGUCCGUCUGGAGGGAGAUAGGGGUGUGCGGAACUUCCAGUGGAGCGGUGAAAUGCGUUGAUAUUGGAAGGAACGCCGGAGGCGAAAGCGGCGCACUGGAUCUCUUCUGACGCUGAGGCGCGAAAGCUAGGGGAGCAAACGGGAUUAGAUACCCCGGUAGUCCUAGCCCUAAACGAUGAGUACUAGAUUGUAGACUGAUCAUGGGUUUACAGUCGAAGCAAAAGUUUUAAGUACUCCGCCUGGGGAGUAUGGUCGCAAGGCUGAA